rnacentral:sRNA from 1 species
GCUGGGCCCAGUGGUGUACGCCUGUAAUCCCAGUGACACAGGAGGCUGAGGCUGGAGGAUGGAGCAUUAAAAGCCAGCCUCAG